CCCUACGGGAGGCAGCAGUAGGGAAUCUUCCACAAUGGGCGAAAGCCUGAUGGAGCAACGCCGCGUGGGUGAAGAAGGUCUUCGGAUCGUAAAACCCUGUUGUUAGAGAAGAAAGUGCGUGAGAGUAACUGUUCACGUUUCGACGAUAUCUAACCAGAAAGCCACGGCUAACUACGUGCCAGCAGCCGCGGUAAUACGUAGGUGGCAAGCGUUAUCCGGAUUUAUUGGGCGUAAAGGGAGCGCAGGCGGUCUUUUAAGUCUGAUUGGAAAGCCUCGGGUUUAACGGGAUU
rnacentral:rRNA from 1 species